rnacentral:rRNA from 1 species
AUGCUUUCCAGAGAGGAAAGCGCAUUUGCGCCCGAAGAACAAACGGAAUACGUUUACCCAAAGAGGAAGCGCACUUCAUACGAUACGCUUUCUACAGAUGAAAACGCAGACGGCCGAAUACGUCUCCACUUGCCACGUCAGUGUCAGCGGGGUCAACCCCCCGGGUCACUGACUGGUGGGGCCGCGGGGUCCACGGGCUCGGUCAACUCCCUCCUCCCGCUCCUCCUCUUCUUCCCCCCGACGCGGGCGCAGAAUAGAGGGAGGGGCGCCGGCGCUGGCCUAGCGGCUCCGGCCAACUCCGGCCAAGGGGAGGGCAACGGCGGGACCAGGGCAAGGCGCCGCACCCACAUGGACCAGCUGGGGACGCCGAGAAGGGACUGCAAGGCGACGGUCGAAGACGGGGUGGACGUCGUCUCUGGUUGGCGUCGGGCACGGCCCGACGGGCGCUCCGGCGACGAGCCGAGGGCCAGGGUGGUCUUGCGGGAGUGGAGGAGGAGUUCUAGAGUGGAAAAGAGGAGGGGAGGGGCUCUGCCUAGCUCAAAUUUGAGCGAGGCCCGAUGGCGGCAAUGGCGGACAGAGGAGUGGAACGGGAGCUCCUCGAGCUCGGUUUGGUGGUCGGGGCGGCGUAGAGGACUUCGGUGA